rnacentral:rRNA from 1 species
AGAGUUUGAUCCUGGCUCAGGAUGAACGCUGGCUGUGUGCCUAAUACAUGCAUGUCGAGCGGAGUUCUUCGGAACUUAGCGGCGAAUGGGUGAGUAACACGUACUUAACAUGCCUUUUAGAUUGGGACAACGAUGAGAAAUUAUCGCUAAUACCGGAUACUUAUAUGGUUCGCAUGAACUAUAUAUAAAAGAAGCCUUUAAAGCUUCACUAAAAGAUUGGGGUGCGGAACAUUAGCUAGUUGGUAAGGUAAUGGCUUACCAAGGCGAUGAUGUUUAGCGGGGUUGAGAGACUGAUCCGCCACACUGGGACUGAGAUACGGCCCAGACUCCUACGGGAGGCAGCAGUAGGGAAUUUUCCACAAUGGACGAAAGUCUGAUGGAGCGACACAGCGUGCAGGAUGAAGGCCUUCGGGUUGUAAACUGCUGUUAUAAGGGAAGAAAAAGCAGUAGAGGAAAUGCUAUUGCCUUGACGGUACCUUGUCAGAAAGCAACGGCUAACUAUGUGCCAGCAGCCGCGGUAAUACAUAGGUUGCAAGCGUUAUCCGGAAUUAUUGGGCGUAAAGCGUCUGUAGGUUGUAUGUUAAGUCUGGCGUGAAAACUUGGGGCUCAACCCCAAAUUGCGUUGGAUACUGGCAUGCUAGAAUUGUGUAGAGGUUAGCGGAAUUCCUAGUGAAGCGGUGAAAUGCGUAGAUAUUAGGAAGAACAUCAACAUGGCGAAGGCAGCUAACUGGGCACAUAUUGACACUGAGAGACGAAAGCGUGGGGAGCAAACAGGAUUAGAUACCCUGGUAGUCCACGCUGUAAACGAUGAUGAUUAGCUGAUAGUAGAACUAUCGGCACAGCUAACGCAUUAAAUCAUCCGCCUGAGUAGUAUGCUCGCAAGAGUGAAACUUAAAGGAAUUGACGGGGAUCCGCACAAGCGGUGGAGCAUGUGGUUUAAUUUGAAGAUACUCGUAGAACCUUACCCACUCUUGACAUCUUCCGCAAAACUAUAGAGAUAUAGUGGAGGCUAACGGAAUGACAGAUGGUGCAUGGUUGUCGUCAGCUCGUGUCGUGAGAUGUUCGGUUAAGUCCUGCAACGAGCGCAACCCUUGUCCUUAGUUAAUUUUCUAGGGAGACUGCCCGAGUAAUUGGGAGGAAGGUGGGGACGACGUCAAAUCAUCAUGCCUCUUACGAGUGGGGCAACACACGUGCUACAAUGGAUGGUACAAAGAGAAGCAAAACGGCGACGUCAAGCAAAUCUCAAAAAACCAUUCUCAGUUCGGAUUGUAGUCUGCAACUCGACUACAUGAAGUCGGAAUCGCUAGUAAUCGUAGAUCAGCUACGCUACGGUGAAUACGUUCUCGGGUCUUGUACACACCGCCCGUCACACCAUGGGAGCUGGUAAUGCCCGAAGUCGGUUUUGUUAACUACGGAGACAACUGCCUAAGGCAGGGCCGGUGACUGGGGUGAAGUCGUAACAAGGUAUCCCUACGAGAACGUGGGGAUGGAUUACCU